GUAUACUUCCAUAAUCUGAGAUCUCAUUAGGGGACUAAAAUAUAUAUAUAUAACCAAGAUCUGUUGUUUUACUUUGUUACUGUUGAUUCGGAUACAGAUUUUUGAGUGCUAUUCAGACGCAACAAAGUGAUUCUCCUUAAUUACGGAGUGUGCAUACUUUGCUGUCCUGAGGUGAAGAAGUCCAGUUCACUGGAUAUAUUUCAGGACAAAUGAUCUUCCAAUAUUUCCUAUGUAUCUGGAAUACAAACUGCUCAAGCUGGAGGAUGUGGCACAUCUUUGAGGAACUCUCGUUACAGAAAUGGUGGGACAGAGGUGCGUAGUGAGUGGCCAAACACUGAAACAAAUUACCCAGAGGAGCUGUGGAGUCUUCUCCUUGGAGAUCUUCAGAAGACACCUGGGUCCAGGCACCUUGAUCUGGAUGAUCCCACUGAAGCCACCAAGUGGACCAGGUGGACCCAGAGGUCUCUUUUAAUAUCAAUCAUUUUGUGAAAUUCUCAUGUAUGAGAAAAAUAUAUGAGCAUCUGUAUGGGAAAUACAUUUUUUUGAUGCCUUAUGUAUUUUCCUUAUACUGAAUUUUUUUUUCCUUAUACUGAUAAUUUUUGAUUUUGUUACUGGUCAGGGAAAAUCAGGACACAUGCAAAAAUUAAGUAGACUGGUAUGAUGCAGAAGAAACAAGCUUUCUAGAAUCAUCAAAAGGUCUGAAACAAAAACUUCCAUUUCCAGAAGAAAAAAUUGUUUUCAGCUACAGUGGGUGCAGAUAUAAUCCAAUUGCCUGAAAAAUCAUAGUUUGUCUAGGAUAAAAAGUUAAACAGCCUAAUAAAGAGCUCAUACAAAAAGAAAUAUUAAACAUUUCAUAGGGAGACAUUUUUAAGACCUCGGCUGGAAGACUUUCAGCUCAACAGUUGCUUUAAUCAGUUUAUUCAAUUAUAUUCAGGGGAAUCACUUCAAAAGCAUAAGAAAAUUUCAUCUUUUGGCUUAUAAGUGAUGAAUGGCUUUUGGGCUGUGUUUCCUUCUUAAAAUAAUAAUAAUAAUUAAAAAAAAAAGAUAAAAAGAUUAGCAGCUCCUGUAGUACCUUCACUUUCCAGGAUUGCCUUGAAAGCAGUGUGUGAAGCAGGGUGAUUUUUUUUAUUAUUUUUUUAUUUUUUAAAGCUAGAGGCUGUUGUGCCACAAUUAAUGGAUGGCCCUGUUUUGCUUGAGUGAUACUAGCAGAAGUAGUGGGUGCAGACC
rnacentral:lncRNA from 7 species